AUGUACAACGGCAUCGGGCUGCAGACGGCGCGCGGGUCCGGCACGAAUGGGCACGUCCAGACCAACAAGUUCUUCAUCCAGCCCCGGACCGGCGGCCCGCCGCCCAAGGCGCCGCUCCACAGCCACGACGACGGCGCCGCCGGGACGCGGAAGCCGAACAAGGAGAUCCUGGAGCACGACCGGAGGCGGCAGGUGGAGCUGCGGCUGGUCGAGCUGAGGGACACCCUCGAGGAGCAGGGCUACACGGAAGGCGAGAUCGAGGAGCGCGUCGAGGAGGCGCGCAAGAAAGCCGAGCUGGAGGCUGCCCGCGGCGGCGCCGGGGGUGCAGCACCGCGUCCGGGCGAAGGGUUCAUGGGUAUGCAGAGCCACCAUGUCGCAGCACGCAAGGAGAAGAAGCUCGAGGCGAUGAGGGCUGCUCUUGGGCUAGAUGCUGAGGUUGGACAGAAGAGGAACGCUCAAGUAGACAGUGGGGAGCUUGUACCUGGGAAGGAUGGGUUCUGA
rnacentral:rRNA from 1 species